GCCAGGCUUUUUGCUUGAUUUCUUUUUUAGUCUCUCGUCUAUUUUUCCUUUUUUCUCCGCAUUUUUAAAUACCUUCUUGUUCCAUCGGUACGUAAUAAAAAGUAUUUAUGUUCCUCUAUUCAGAGUCAUUUUCUUUUACUUACCCGGAUGUGGUCGCAUCAAACUCAAAGCUGAGAGAUCGACCACACACUUGUCAUUGGACGCACCCGACACUCAGGGGCUGCGUCCAAUCGACCACAAACUUGUCAUU
rnacentral:lncRNA from 1 species